CCUUACCUCUACAGUUCCCCUCCUCCUCCAUACCACUAUUAGAAUCCUCUAUCAAGAAGAACACGAUGUACACAAGAAGACAAGGACAAGAAGAAACCAUUAUUGGUGAUUGUAAUAAGAGAAACAUAGAGUGAAAGAGAGAAUCCAAGCAGAAAAAGCUUUCUCAUCAUUUUCAAUGUAUUUUAAAAGUUUUAUUGUAAUAAAUUUGAAACAUGUGUGAGUUGAUCAACUAAAUGUCCUUCAUGCACGCAAUCAGCAGUCAUAUAAAUGUUUUAAGUUUAAUUACUCUUGUUUA